GACGAACCGUGCGAACGUUAUUCGGAAUCAUUGGGCUUAAAGGGCGCGUAGGCGGCGGCGUAAGUUGGAAGUGAAAUCCCAUCGGCUCAACCGUGGAAUUGCUCCCAGUACUGCGUCGCUCGAGGGGGAUAGGGGUCUGCGGAACUACCGGUGGAGCGGUGAAAUGUGUUGAUAUCGGUGGGAACGCCAGUGGCGAAAGCGGCAGACUGGGCCAUUCCUGACGCUGAGGCGCGAAAGCUAGGGGAGCAAACGGG
rnacentral:rRNA from 1 species